UGCUGGAGGUAUCAGAAGUGCGAAUGCUGACAUAAGUAACGAUAAAGCGGGUGAAAAGCCCGCUCGCCGGAAGACCAAGGGUUCCUGUCCAACGUUAAUCGGGGCAGGGUGAGUCGACCCCUAAGGCGAGGCCGAAAGGCGUAGUCGAUGGGAAACGGGUUAAUAUUCCCGUACUUGGUGUUACUGCGAAGGGGGGACGGAGAAGGCUAUGUUGGCCGGGCGACGGUUGUCCCGGUUUAAGCGUGUAGGUGUGUGUUCCAGGUAAAUCCGGUUCACUUUAACACUGAGGCGUGACGACGAGGCACUACGGUGCUGAAGCAACAAAUGCCCUGCUUCCAGGAAAAGCCUCUAAGCAUCAGGUAACACGAAAUCGUACCCCAAACCGACACAGGUGGUCAGGUAGAGAAUACCAAGGCGCUUGAGAGAACUCGGGUGAAGGAACUAGGCAAAAUGGUGCCGUAACUUCGGGAGAAGGCACGCUGACACGUAGGUGAAGUGAUUUACUCAUGGAGCUGAAGUCAGUCGAAGAUACCAGCUGGCUGCAACUGUUUAUUAAAAACACAGCACUGUGCAAACACGAAAGUGGACGUAUACGGUGUGACGCCUGCCCGGUGCCGGAAGGUUAAUUGAUGGGGUCAGCG
rnacentral:rRNA from 18 species